ACCCUGGCUCCUGAGAGCGCAGCAGGUCCUGCGAACUCCGGGAAAGGCGCCUCCUUGGCGGAGACACCUCCCGUCCCCGCCCCGGCACCGAGCAGCAGGAGCGGCGGCACGGCCGGUUCCCUUCCCGGGCGGGCCGGGGCCGGGGCUGGCGGGGCCGCUCGGGGCCCGGCUGCCCGCACCUGACAUGGCGGCCGCGGGCCCCUCCCGCGCUGGCGGCCCGGCAGAGGCCGCCCCUCCUCGGCCGGCCCGCAGCAGGGCGGCGGCGGCGGCAGCUUCCGGCGGAGCCCUCCUGCCUUCAACAAAGAUGGUGCUGCCCGCGCAAGCUCCGCGGGCGCCGGCGCGUCCCAGGUAGCUUCCCGCUCUCCUCGUGUUCCCAGAUGGAUGCCAGAGACAAGCAGCUUUUACGCUCCCUGCGCCUGGAGCUCUGCACAGAGGUGCUGGUGGAUGGACUUGUUAUUCAGUAUCUCUACCAAGAAGGGAUUCUCACAGACAGUCAUGUUCAAGAAAUAAAAGCCCAAACCACUAGUCAGAGGAAAACCAUGAUGCUUCUUGAUAUUCUCCCCACCAGAGGACCCAAAGCUUUUGAUGUGUUCUUGGAUUCCUUACAGGAGUUCCCGUGGGUUAAGGACAAGCUGAUGCGGAAGCGUAAGGAAAUGACAAUACAAGAUCCUUCAGACUUAACCGAGGUUGCACCGUGCAUUUUGAAGAUGUCACCAACAGAUCAGCAGCUGAACAAGCUGGCGAGGAGGCUGGGGCCUGAAUGGGAGCAUGUAGCUCUGUGCUUGGGUUUGUCCCAUACUGACAUCUAUCGAUGUAAAGUCAAUCACCCUCACAACCUGCAGUCACAGAUCGUAGCUGCAUUUGUCCUGUGGAAACAGCGUUUGGGGAAAAAAGCAACAAUCCAAAGUCUGCACUCCAGUCUGAUGGCAGAGGAAGUGGAUCCUUCGGUGAUACACUACAUGCUUGAGUGAAGUCAUGCUAUUUAUUCAGAGCAUCCACGUAUUUCGUUCAAUUAAGUGAAGAGGAUGGAAAUGUGGAAAACCAUCCCAGAGCAGGUGUACAGACAUUUGGCAAAUUCAUAUGAGCACAGCCCAGCACAGGGAGUGGGAUGAGGACUUUGAAGCAAUUCUGACAGUGAGAUUGACAGGAGCAUGGUUUGCAUAUUAGGGAAGAGAGGCAAAGCACCCUUCCUGGGAGCAGUUUGGAGGAAAAAAAGCUAGAGAUCGUUGACAGGAGGAACUAUUGCAAAUGUGAUGUAGAGGAAGAAGUUGACUCCCAGUGUCAUAAAUGUAAGUACCUUACCUUGCUCUGAACCAACAAGGACCAAGUCUAAACACAGUCUGACCCUUCGAGGCAGUUCAUCCCCAAUUAACCCAGAAUGAGCACAGUGCUCCAAGGAGGCAACCAGUCUGGGCAGUAAAGCAAUGUAGUGGGCACACUCACAUGACCCUGGUACCUUCUUCCUUGAGUGAACUUUGCAUUUCAUACUCUUUAUUUCAUGAAAUCGUAGGAUGGUUUGGGUUGAAAGGAAUCUCCAAGAUCAUCUACUCCAACACAUCUGCCAUGGGCACCUUUCAGUACAUCAGUUUGCUCAAAGCCCAAUCCAACCUGGCUUUGAAUGCUUCCAGGAAUGAGGCAUCCAAACAUAUCUGGGCAAUCUGUUCCAGUGCCUCAUCACCCUCACAAUUAAGAAUUUCUCCUUAAUAUUUAAUCUAAACCUGCCCUCUUCUAGUUUGAAGCCACUCCUCCUUGUCCUAUCACUAUAUGUCCUUGUAAAAAGUCCCUCUCCAGUUUUCUUGUAGGCCUCUUUUAGAUAGUGAACAGUGCUAUAAGGUCUCCCCAUAGCCUUCUAUUCUCCAUGCUGGGCAGUCCCAACUGUCACAGCCUUUCCUCAUAGGAGACGUGCUCCAGCCUUCUGGUCCUCUUGAUGGUGCUUCUCUGGACUCACUCCAGUACUUCUAUGUCCUUCCUGUAUGUGGACUCCUGUUAGCAGCACUCCAGGUGGGGUCUUAUGCGAGGGGAGAAGAGGUAGAGAAUCACCUCCCUCAACCUGCUGGCCAUGCUUCUUUUGAUGAAGCCCAGGAUAUGGUUGGCCAAUGUCAGGUUAUCCAUAACUAAUAUACUUAGGGUAUUUUUAAUGGUUAAGAAAACAACCUCCAGUAGAUAUGAAAUUUCAUGCCAAAUAAGGCUUCCUUUCAAGCCAGGUAUCUAUCUGAGUAUCUACUAUGGGCCACUGGAAACCAGAUGGGUGAGUGUCAUAUCAAGUAAUUUCUCCAACUUCUUUAGGUGGGCUAAAUGUACAAAUCUUGCACCUGGUACUAAAAUUAUAGGAGCCACAGCUAGACAAGGAUUAUAAAACCUGGCCUCUCAUAUUGUAGAGCAAAGCAUAUAAUUAAUAAUUUAUAGUUGCUUUCACAUUCCCAGGGCCUAAAUGAAUGCUGUAAUGCUUGAGUUGCAAAUAUUGAAGGGAGAGGUUUACUUGUUUUAUGAGAUUUUUUCCAUUGCUGAUAUUUUUAAAUUCAUGGAAAUGUUCCUAUUAGACUCUUCAUUUUUAUUAAAGCUUGUUUUUGCACUACACAAAUGCGGGGAUACAUUUAACUGACAGUAGUAUUCCUUUAACCCAGUGGAUUUUUCCAUCCACUUAAAAAUAUUUUUCUUCUGUAUGUAAUGUUUUAUUGUGCACAAGGAUGCAAUUAAGACAAUUUAAUUCUUCAGAUGUAUAGUAAGGCCUCUUAUUCUCUCAUAGAACACUGAGAAGACCUUAAAAUGUUUAUUAUUUUCUGCUAAUUUAAGACCAAAUGUUAUUUAUUUAAAUCUCGUGGACAAGCCUGUGACUUGAGUGUUGCUCAGGACUGAGGCAACUCAGUGAGUUUCCUCAUCUCUCCCUUUGCCUCAAACUCCCUUGUGCCAAAGUUUGGGUGAUGACAGGAGACUUGCACGGGGGCUCCUGUCCUCCCUGCCCACUGUGCAUCCAGGACUGGUGCAGGGGGCAGGCUGACUCCCAGGGGAACCCCAUUUCCACCACUUGUGGUGAGGCGUGCAGCCACUUUGGGCUUUGGGAUGGACGUGAGUUUGGCAAAGGUGAGCAAGCAGAACUGCCCUCUGAUGUGUUCAGGUUUCUUAACCAAUGUCGAAAAAUCCUCGCUAGUGAAACUGGUAUUAUUGGUAUCUACUUAUUUGUGGCAGAGUUUAGGAGCUCCAAGACAGAAGAGAAUAAAUAUGGCCACUGCUGGAGCUUCCACUGAAACAGAUGGCAUAACUUCUAGUCCUUGGAAGAAGUUGUCAUUGAUUUUCUUGCUUGGUCUCCAGAGGAGACUUUGACAUCCCAUUUAACUCUGCUAAGUUGUGAAGAAGCUCUAUUAAAAAACUAAAACUAAAAAAACCUGUUUUGUACUCUGCAAGUACAGGUGGACACUUAGCAUGGCAAUAGGCAAGACCUAAGAGCACUAAUUCUCACCUGCAUAAGCUAUAUGAAUGAUCACAAAGGAAGGAUCUUCUCGGGGUAAAAGCAUGUCAGACUGCCAACAUUUAAGAGUGGCUGGAGCGUAAAAUGAAAAUGCAGUCAUCUGUGAGCCACUUCUCCCAGAUAUAGUGGGGGAAAUUUCCAUCUGGAGUCAUAUUUUAUGACAGAUAUUGAUAUAUGGAAUAAAACAUUUUGCAAAAGUCUGAAAAAAUAAACAAUGUCAUAUUAUAUUCAAAGAAAAUAAAAGGCAUGCUCAUCUCAUGCUAAAUGUGGUCAUGCUGCCAAUUUUGUUUCUUAAUGGAAAGGAAAACAGUCUCU